rnacentral:rRNA from 1 species
CUUCCCUACGGGAGGCAGCAGUGAGGAAUAUUGGUCAAUGGACGGAAGUCUGAACCAGCCAUGCCGCGUGCAGGAUGACGGCUCUAUGAGUUGUAAACUGCUUUUGUACGAGAAUAAUAGUUCUUACGUGUAGGGAUUUGAAUGUAUCGUACGAAUAAGGAUCGGCUAACUCCGUGCCAGCAGCCGCGGUAAUACGGAGGAUUCGAGCGUUAUCCGGAUUUAUUGGGUUUAAAGGGUGCGCAGGCGGAAGAUCAAGUCAGCGGUAAAAUUGAGAGGCUCAACCUCUUCGAGCCGUUGAAACUGGU